UUAAAUGUCUUGAGAUUUAAAAAGAUGUUUUGUAGUUAUACUCAAGCUUGGAACCAUAGUGACCAACUGUUACGGACAGACUGGAUUGUAUCCCCUUCCAAUUAAGUUACGGUGCUGCUACAGAAAGAAAAGAGGUUGAGACUGAGCUACAGUUAAUCUGUGGCGACGUGCUGGAUGCACUGGACAAACACCUCAUUCCAGUAGCUGACACUGAAGUUGAACUAAUUGACACCUACCACCGCUUGCUGGAGGUUGAGGACGCCCAGUGAGUGUGCACCCGGGCUGGAGAAGGCAGGAGGUAUGGCCCGGAAAAGAGACACAGAAAGGUAAUCCAAGAGGGCUUUCUGGAGGAGGUGGCAGCUGAGCCUAGAGGUGAAUUUCGUUGGGGAAGAGGGAGUGAGGCCUAGGCAGCUUAGGCCAUGACCCCCAUAGUGGGAGACGGCUGCAUAAGGGUCUCUCUCCUGGCAUCCGUCUUUACCCAUGCCUGGGCAUCCUACCCCCAUCACCCUUUAACCCCCGAGGGCCUUGGCUGGGUCCCAGAAAUUCCCAGGAGGGUCAGAGAAGACCACGGGGACUCUCAUCACCCCCACCCUGGCUCACUUCCAAAAAGGCUGCAAGAAGGAUGUUGGAGGGUCUCCUGGAGGCCGCCAAGGGCAUUUUCUCAUGGAGCCCACGUCUCUCCCCGAUCGUGGUGGCUGUGAUCGGUAAUUCCAGCUUCAUACUGGCUACAGGUGGAUGAUGCCCACCUGGCUGCCGAUGACUUCUGCACCAAGUGAGGCUGGGUCUCUGGAGCUGCCCCAGGGGCUGGACAAGCUGACCCUGCCUGGAGCCAACCUGGAGAUGCAGCCUGAGAACCUCAAGGAGGACCUGGUCUACCUGAAGAAGAACCAUGAGGAGGAAAUGAACGCCCUUUGAGGUCAGGUGGACAAGGAUGUCAGUGUGAAGAUGGACACUGUGCCUGGAGUGAACCUGAGCUGCAUCCUGAAUGAGAUGCGUGACCAGGACAAGAAACUGGUGGAGAAGAGCUGCAAGGAUGCCCAGGGCUGGUUCUUCAGCGUGGUGGGUGGCCGUGUGUAAGCAGGUGUGCACACGUGUGGGCACAUACGCCGUGUGCUGGUGCAGUUGGAACACCGGCAGAUUCACAGGCUGUCCCAGUUGGAAGGACUUUUGGAAACCAGUCGGACCAGCCCUUCAUGUCUUCGAUGUAAAAUGUGAGGCUCAGAGAGGACUCAAGCUCACACAGCCCUUCACUGUGGCCUGCAAAAUAGAUCCCGUUCUCUGCAAGUCUGGUCUUGGGUUUCCACCACAGCUGUUUACAGGAUGUGUGUAUUUGAGUACAUACACAUACCCUUGGCAAGCACAGGCUGAGUGUGUCCGGUGUCCUAGGGACAGCAACAGGUGCAAAAGAAUAACACCCAGUGCCUGUCUUUGAGGUGCUGUAGUUCGGUAGGAGUAAGAAAUGCAAACGACCGCAGAGCAGGUUGAAUUCCUCCAAGGUCCAACAUGGGUGCAGAGAGUCUUUGUGUGCAGAGAGAGGGGCUGAACUGCAAGGUGGCCACCAACACAGAGGCCCUGCAGAGCGGCAGGAUGGAGAUGUGGAGCUCUACAUCUCUGUGCAGAACCUGAGCCGUCCCAGCUCAGCAAGAAAGCAUCGCUGGAGGGCAGCCUGGUGGAGACGGAGGUGUGUUACAGGACCCAGCUGGCCCAGCUGCAGGGGCUCAUCAGAAGCAUGGAACAGCAGCUGUGCGAGCUCUGCUGUGAUGCAGAGCACCAGGACCACGAGCACCAGGUCCUUCUGGACGUGAAGACGCGGCUGGAGCAGGAGAUCGCCACCUACAGCCGCUUGCUAGAGGUUGAGGACGCCCAGUGAGUGUGCACCCAGGGGAACCUCCUCUGCCAGGGCCUGCUUCUCCCCAGCAGUGCUUGCAGGGGCCUGGGCUGGCUGGCAUCCCUGGGUCGAUGGGUGCUCCUCUCCCUGCAGGCUGGCCACUCAGUACUCCUUGUCCCUGGCCUCGCAGCCCACCUGGGAAGCCACAGUGACCAGCCACCAGGUGUGCCAUCGUGGAGGAAGUCCAGGUUGGAGAGGUGGUCUUCUGUAAGCAGGUCCAUCUCUCCACCCACUGAGGCCCCUUUCUGCCUGUGACAGCCCCACCUCGAGGGUCAUGGCACAGCCAUCAGCUGCAGCUCCCAGCAUGCUACUGCCACGCCCCGAGUGUCCGUCUGGGCACUGGUCCAUGACCUGUUGUCUUUCUGUAUCUACUUUCUGCAGCCCCUCACUGAGGAGGCCUCCUGGGUUUGUCCAGUGCCUGCUAUUAAAGCUUUGCUCCAAGUUC
ensembl:lncRNA novel transcript